CCUGUGGCGCAAUAGGCAGCGCGUUCGGCUGUUAACCGAAAGGUUGGUGGUUCGAGCCCACCCGGG
rfam:Caenorhabditis brenneri strain PB2801 C_brenneri-6.0.1_Cont158.2, whole genome shotgun sequence.